AACGUCUUAGUUCGGAUUGUAGUCUGCAACUCGACUACAUGAAGCUGGAAUCGCUAGUAAUCGCGAAUCAGAAUGUCGCGGUGAAUACGUUCCCGGGUCUUGUACACACCGCCCGUCACACCAUGGGAGUUGGGAAUGCCCGAAGCCGGUGACCUAACCGAAAGGGAGGAGCCGUCGAAGGCAGGUCUGAUAACUGGGGUGAAGUCGUAACAAGGUACC
rnacentral:rRNA from 1 species